GGGGUUCUGGCCGAGUGGUUAAGGCGCUGUGUUUAGGUCAAUCGAACGAUCCGCAGUGGGAAACCGCGCAGGUUCGAAUCCUGCGGACCUCA
rnacentral:tRNA from 2 species